rnacentral:rRNA from 1 species
UGGAUCCAGACUUUGAUCCUGGCUCAGGAUGAACGCUGGCGGCGUGCCUAAUACAUGCAAGUCGAACGAAACUUCUUUAUCACCGAGUGCUUGCACUCACCGAUAAAGAGUUGAGUGGCGAACGGGUGAGUAACACGUGGGCAACCUGCCCAAAAGAGGGGGAUAACACUUGGAAACAGGUGCUAAUACCGCAUAACCAUAGUUACCGCAUGGUAACUAUGUAAAAGGUGGCUAUGCUACCGCUUUUGGAUGGGCCCGCGGCGCAUUAGCUAGUUGGUGGGGUAAAGGCUUACCAAGGCAAUGAUGCGUAGCCGAACUGAGAGGUUGAUCGGCCACAUUGGGACUGAGACACGGCCCAAACUCCUACGGGAGGCAGCAGUAGGGAAUCUUCCACAAUGGGCGAAAGCCUGAUGGAGCAACGCCGCGUGGGUGAAGAAGGUCUUCGGAUCGUAAAACCCUGUUGUUAGAGAAGAAAGUGCGUGAGAGUAACUGUUCACGUUUCGACGGUAUCUAACCAGAAAGCCACGGCUAACUACGUGCCAGCAGCCGCGGUAAUACGUAGGUGGCAAGCGUUAUCCGGAUUUAUUGGGCGUAAAGGGAACGCAGGCGGUCUUUUAAGUCUGAUGUGAAAGCCUUCGGCUUAACCGGAGUAGUGCAUUGGAAACUGGGAGACUUGAGUGCAGAAGAGGAGAGCGGAACUCCAUGUGUAGCGGUGAAAUGCGUAGAUAUAUGGAAGAACACCAGUGGUGAAAGCGGCUCUCUGGUCUGUAACUGACGCUGAGGUUCGAAAGCGUGGGUAGCAAACAGGAUUAGAUACCCUGGUAGUCCACGCCGUAAACGAUGAAUGCUAAGUGUUGGAGGGUUUCCGCCCUUCAGUGCUGCAGCUAACGCAAUAAGCAUUCCGCCUGGGGAGUACGACCGCAAGGUUGCAACUCAAAGGAAUUGACGGA